UACGAGUGCCUCAAGCGUUAUCCGGAAUCAUUGGGCGUAAAGAGCUCGUAGGCGGCCUGUUGCGUCCGCUGUGAAAGCCCGGGGCUUAACCCCGGGUCGGCAGUGGAUACGGGCAGGCUAGAGGUAGGUAGGGGAGAAUGGAAUUCCCGGUGUAGCGGUGAAAUGCGCAGAUAUCGGGAGGAACACCGGUGGCGAAGGCGGUUCUCUGGGCCUUACCUGACGCUGAGGAGCGAAAGCGUGGGGAGCGAACAGG
rnacentral:rRNA from 1 species